ensembl:rRNA 5S_rRNA 5S ribosomal RNA
GCUUACGGCCAUACCACCUUGGGGCACGCCCGAUCUCGUCUGAUCUCGGAAGCUAAGCAGGGUCGGGCCUGGUUAGUACUUGGAUGGGUGACCGCCUGGGAAUACCAGGUGCUGUAAGCA